rnacentral:lncRNA from 1 species
GGCAAACGAAUUAUCUUUAUAUGUUUCAAAUAACUAGUAUGGAAACAUCACAGGUUAUUUACAACUUAAAUAACGCAAAUGCUAGUUCUUUUUUAUUUAUUUUCUGGCCUUUUUGGGGUGUAAUAGGCCAUGCAGUAGUACUCUCAUCGGAAUCAUAUGAAUCCCAAAAAACACAAAAAUCAAAAGAGUUAUAUCCUCCAUACAUUACCACCAUUUGCGCUUGUCCUUCCCUUUUCUCCACGCAAUUAUAUAUAUGUAUAUAUGUAUAACCAUCUUCCAUUUGAAAUCAUCUUCAAAUUUCCCUAGCUUAAUCAGCUCAAUCAUCACAAUUAUAUGUAUAUAUAAUCCCACUUUAUUUAACUAAACAGAAAUGGCACGCCAAAUUGUUGUUCUUGCCUUAGUCUUGGUGGCUCUUGUCGGGUCAGCUUCCGCCGCUGAAGCACCCACAGGUUCUCCGGCCACCGCCCCAACAGCUGGCGUCAGUUCCCCCGCCCCAACACCUUCGGCCGCAUCUCCUAGCCCAUACUCCUCCACCUCCGUCCCUACCUCGUCCAUAUCUCUUGCUCCGGAUGCCGAGACACCUGACGAGGCUCCGUCUCCUUUUGCUGAUGGACAAGGGAAAAAUGCACCAGCACCAGCACCAGCACCAGAUUCUGAUUAAGAGGACAGCUAAUCGACUUAGUAAGACUCCUAUAUCUUAAAUUUUCGAUCCUUUUAAAAUUUCGCUCCUCAGCCUCCUCCCCCACUACUAUAUAUAUAUAUAUACACACACACACAUUAAUAAAACCAAUGAUAUUAGUGGAUCAAUCGGCAGAAUUAGGAGAUAACAAUGAUAUUAAUGUAUCGAAUAAUCCUAUAGAUGACCUGUGACAUGUCUCGUGCUGCU